AGUGAACGCUGGCGGUAGGCCUAACACAUGCAAGUCGAACGGCAGCACAGUAAGAGCUUGCUCUUACGGGUGGCGAGUGGCGGACGGGUGCGGAAUACAUCGGAAUCUACUUUUUCGUGGGGGAUAACGUAGGGAAACUUACGCUAAUACCUCAUACGACCUACGGGUGAAAGCAGCGUAUCUUCGGACCUUGCGCGAUUGAAUGAGCCGAUGUCGGAUUAGCUAGUUGGCGGGGUAAAGGCCCACCAAGGCGACGAUCCGUAGCUGGUCUGAGAGGAUGAUCAGCCACACUGGAACUGAGACACGGUCCAGACUCCUACGGGAGGCAGCAGUGGGGAAUAUUGGACAAUGGGCGCAAGCCUGAUCCAGCCAUACCGCGUGGGUGAAGAAGGCCUUCGGGUUGUAAAGCCCUUUUGUUGGGAAAGAAAAGCAGCAGGUUAAUACCCCGCUGUUCUGACGGUACCCAAAGAAUAAGCACCGGCUAACUUCGUG
rnacentral:rRNA from 1 species